AUGGCGACGUGCAGUGCACUGGUGGGUCUCCCAGACCGAGAAGAACCCCGACAAACAUUUCUACAAGUGCGAGCAUCACCAUGUGAGUCCAGCCCUUUACCCAUUCUAUUCAAUCGAAGCACCUCCUUGAAUCCACCGCUUGAGGUUUGCAUCCAGUUCUUUCCUAUAACAAAACUACUUGUUCCUGUUGUUCAUCCACGCACCAAGUCAAACCAGCUACAGCCUGGGCGCCCUCAGAUGGAUCCUCGUAAUCGGCAUCCUCCACCUAGCAGGGGUUCUCCAUCUCUACCUCAAGAACUAAUGACGCGCUAUCGCCCACCGCUGAAGUUACCUUUAAUUAUUAGUUAA
rnacentral:rRNA from 1 species